rnacentral:rRNA from 1 species
AUUGAACGCUGGCGGCAGGCCUAACACAUGCAAGUCGAGCGCGAAAGUCUUCGGAUGAGUAAAGCGGCGGACGGGUGAGUAAUGCAUGGGAAUCUGCCUGGUAGUGGGGGACAACGUUUCGAAAGAGACGCUAAUACCGCAUACGCCCUACGGGGGAAAGGGGGGGAUCUUCGGACCUCUCGCUAUCAGAUGAGCCCAUGUCAGAUUAGCUAGAUGGUAGGGUAAAGGCCUACCAAGGCGACGAUCGGGAACUGGUCUGAGAGGAUGAGCAGUCACACUGGAACUGAGACACGGUCCAGACUCCUACGGGAGGCAGCAGUGGGGAAUAUUGGACAAUGGGGGCAACCCUGAUCCAGCCAUGCCGCGUGUGUGAAGAAGGCCCUAGGGUUGUAAAGCACUUUCAGUGGGGAGAAAGGUUGUUCAGUUAAUACCUGAAUGAAUUGAUGUUACCCACAGAAGAAGCACCGGCUAACUCCGUGCCAGCCGCCGCUGUAACAC